GGAUUGCAGUCUGCAACUCGAGUGCAUGAAGCUGGAAUCGCUAGUAAUCGCGGAUCAGAAUGCCGCGGUGAAUACGUUCCCGGGUCUUGUACACACCGCCCGUCACACCAUGGGAGUCGAUAACGCCCGAAGUCAGUGACCCAACCUUAUAGGAGGGAGCUGCCGAAGGCGGGAUUGAUAACUGGGGUGAAGUCGUAACAAGGUACC
rnacentral:rRNA from 1 species